UGAGGAAUCUUCCGCAAUGGACGAAAGUCUGACGGAGCAACGCCGCGUGCAGGAUGACGGCCUUCGGGUUGUAAACUGCUUUUAUUUGGGAAGAUUGUGACGGUACCAAAUGAAUAAGGACCGGCUAACUACGUGCCAGCAGCCGCGGUAAUACGUAGGGUCCAAGCGUUAUCCGGAAUCACUGGGCGUAAAGCGUGCGUAGGUGGUAAUUCACGUGCAAUGCGAAAUCGUGUGGCUCAACCAUACGACGGUAGUGCAUACGGGAUUACUAGAGGACAUGAGAGGCAAGUGGAAUUACUGGUGUAGCAGUGAAAUGCGUAGAUAUCAGUAGGAACACCAAUGGCGAAGGCAGCUUGCUGGCAUGUAUCUGACGCUAAGGCACGAAAGCGUGGGGAGCGAACAGG
rnacentral:rRNA from 1 species